rnacentral:lncRNA from 10 species
UGGGGGCUUAUUUGGCCUCCCCAGGAUGGACUGGAGCAUCAGUAGUGCCCGGGUUUAUCACAGGACAGAUACUCAAGACACUCUUAUCACCAUUAGGUGGACUUGGAGGAGCAAAAAACAAGUGCAGUGGCUCCUCAGCAGAGACACUCCUGAAUGUAUAGACAUGGGAACCACCUUCAGCAUCAAAAAAGGAAACGUUCUGCAUGCCCAUAUCCAGAAAAAUCCCCACUCGCUGUAACUUGCGGUCUACGAAGAGGAAAGUCAGCGGCACCGUGCUGGCAGAGAGGCGGCUUCCAUCCCUCAAACUCACAGUCCAGAAUCCACGCUCUGUGGUCAGAUGGAUCCUCCCUUUGCGGUGAACAGAUUCUCUGCAGACUCCCAGGUCCCAUUCUGUGCUUGUUCCCACGUCCACCUCCCAGUAGUGGCGGCCACAGGUAAAGCGAGGGGAGCCCAGGAUGCAAAUGGACACGUCAAAUCUCUCGGCAAGGUCUUGCCGAUUCUGUGUGAUGCACCCACUUCGGACGCUCCUGAGGUCGUCAGAAAUGAGGAGGAAGUUGUUGGCUGUGUCGGCAUCCAAGGUCAUAUCCACUGUGAAAAGGAAAAAAAGUUGAUCAGAAAAUGGACAGAAGCCAACCCCAUGCCUCUCCUCUACUUCAAAGGCCCAAAUAUCUCUUGACUUUGGUUUCUUUAAUUCUCUUCUUCCCCCAAAAUCAAAACUUUUCAUGAGGCAACUUCCCUGACUAGUUCAAAUUCUCAUAGGUAUGCUUUGUGGCAAUACCCAACUCUUAUUCACAGUAGCAAUUAUUUUACUUUAUGUCACGUGUUUGCUUCAUUGGACUUUUCUUCAUUUAGAGUGGAGGGUCUCUGAAGGCAGACACCAUGACCCCCUUUCUACCACCUUGAUGCAUGAAAAAAUGAAUGAUAAUUAAGACAAUGCAAAUGGUCGAUGUUAAAUAUGUUUCUGCUUCCAUCUUGUAUUGCUCAACUCAGUAUAUAGAGCAUGAUUCCAGGCCUUUGUUUUCCAUGUUUGUAAGCAAAUUAAUUGUGCAUGGUUCUGACAGCAGGUAGGGUAUCUCUGCAGCUGACAAUGUGAUGACAGAGGUGCCGGUCCUGGACAUUAGGAGGCUCCAAGGCCAGGAGGAAGAGGGGGGCCUUAGAUGAAAGAAUGUUUUCCAUCCUACAUGGGAGGUGAAACCUUAAGCAAAACAAUGGUAAAUUUUGGAGUGAAGAGAAAGGUAUUUGAAAGUUGUUUGUUGGCUGAGCGCGGUGGCUCACACCUGUAAUCCCAGCACUUUGGGAGGCCGAGACGGGUGGAUCACGAGGUCAGGAGAUCGAGACCAUCCUGGCUAACACGUGAAACCCUGUCUCUACUAAAAAACAUACAAAAAAAUUAGCCGGACAUGGUGGCGGGUGCCUGUAGUCCUAGCUACUCGGUAGACUGAGGCAGGAGAAUGGCAUGAACCCAGGAGGCGGAGCUUGCAAUGAGCAGAGAUCAUGCCACUGCACCUCCAGCCUAGGCGGCAGAGCGAGACUCCAUCUCAAAAAAUAAAAAAAAAAAGAAAGUUGUUCGUCAUAACUGACUGAUCGUAGAGAAUAAGGGCAGUAAAUACAAAGGUCAAUAAUUUAAUGCAUUGGGUAUGUGGUUGAUAGGUGAAGCUGCCAAUUCUCAUGGAGGAGGCAGUGUGAUCUGGCCUAAAGAAAAUUAAUUGUCCAGAGCAUUCUGAAAAAAAAAUCUACAGAACAUAUGAUCCUUCAAGUCAAAAAACUGAUGAUCACCAAUAUAGAUUUUAUAGAUUACAGUAAGACUUGAGGAGACUGAUUGCUGUUUGAUGGUGAAUUAGGGAAUGAAAUGAGAUGAGUGGACAUGGACAAGGAAGGAGGAAGAGGGUUCCAAACAUGACUUAGGCAGGGUGAAUCUGUCCUCCAUAUUUCAGCAGAGACACAGUCAGGUAUGGGUAGGUGGAUGAGUAGAGAUCAUGGGUGUCAGGGCAGAAGCCACCACCAUUUAUAGGUGUAAUUCUUUGCCCAGGCUGACCAUAACCUCUUCAUUUAAAUGUCCCUAUUCCCCAGAGUUAUGGAGAGUGAUAGUAUUUUCUGUAGCCAGGACCCCUGUUGAAGUCCAUGGCACACCGAUGAGGAGACCAGCGUCUGCAACUCGCCCCACUCACAGAAACAAACACCAUAGGUGCUCCAUUCCAAACUCUUCCCAACCCUGGGGUGAGGUUGUUUGGUACAGUGGGUGCCAAUACUCACUGUGCAUUAGAAUUACCAGGCCCAUUUAAAUGUCAGAGUCCUGGGAACCUUUGCUAGAGAGAAAUUCAAAUUAAGUUGCUCUGUGUUUUUGCUACUCAGCAAAGUCCCCAAGCCAGCGGGAUCAAUCCUGAGACUUCCCAGUUCAGCAUCUGCAUUUUAACAAGAUCCCCAGGUAAUCUGAGCACACUAAGUUUAGAGAAUCCCUUGUCUAACCCAUGACAUAGACAUCAGGUUUUUUUUUUUGAGACGGAGUCUCACUCUGUCACCCAGGCUGGAGUGCAGUGGUGCAAUCUUGGCUCACUGCAAGCUCCGCCCCCCCCAGGUUAACGCCAUUCUCCUGCCUCAACCCCCAAGUAGCUGGGACUACAGGCACCCACCACCAAGCCUGGCUAAUUUUUUGUAUUUUUAGUAGAGACAGGGUUUCACCGUGUUAUCCAGGAUGGUCCCGAUCUCCUGACCUCGUGAUCCACCCGCCUCGGCCUCCCAAAGUGCUGACAUUACAGGCAUGAGCCACCAUGCCCAGCCAGCCUUUUUUUUGGAGAUCACCAGGUGAUUCUGUAUGUUGUCAGGGCUGAGAAUCUGAUGAUGAAGAAGCAUCUCAAUUUUAGGUGCCAGACAGCAGCUAAUCCCCAUAUGGAAUGAGGGGCCAGUUGCACAGAUGAUUUUUCCUGGUCUGGUCGUAGGAAGGGGGCAGUGUAUACAGAUCCCUCACCUUGGAACUUCCGCAUCCUUGGGUUCAUCUGCAGAAUCUUCUUCAGCUUGGGCUCCAGUUCCUUGAUGUGGGAAGCCAGCCUCUCUAGCUGCCAACUGGGCCUGAUUUUGUUCUUCUGAGAGACCAUGGAACAGCAACAGCAAAGUAGAUCCUCCCCAUGGGGCUCCUUCUGCAGUGAAUUGAUGCACUUGAAGCAGACAGCGCAUCCACACUCCAGGGACAUUGGUUUCUCUAGAUAGUCUGAGCAGACGGGACAGCUGCUUGCUUCUUGGAAGAGUGCAGCCAUGUCCACUGCCAGGGGAAAAGUGCACAAGGGAAGAAAAUUUCCGUGAGGUGAAAGCCUGUUAGUUGUGACAAGUGACAACCUUUUCAUGCAUAAAGGUAUUGUGUCCCAGCUUUGUCACUUCUAGAACAAGACCAUGAGUACAAACACUCAAGCACAUCCCCCCACCCCCCGUCUUCAGAGAUUUGAAGUUCUAUUGGGAAAGAAAGUCACGAAUCAUCACUGUGCUCUGAACUGAGGUGGAGGAAGGGUCCAUUCUACUGGUGACCCAGCAACUGAGCCUGAGCCAGUGACACGGCAGCACCCAUGUGAGGAACAGCGAGCUGGGGUCAUUUCACCUCCUCCUAGGGGAACCCCAGCAAGAGAUUGAUUGAUGAACAUAAGAAUUAGGGGCUGGGAGGCCGGGCGUGGUGGCUCAGGCCUAUAAUCCCAGCACUUUGGGAGGCUGACGUGAGUGGAUCAUCUGAGGUCGUCAAAAGUUCGAGACCAGCCUGAUGGGUGAAACCCCAUCUCUACUGAAAAUACAAAAGAAUUAGCCAGGCGUGGUGGCACACGCCUGUAAUCCCAGAUACUUGGGAGGCUGAGGCAGGAGAAUUGCUUGAACCUGGGAGGCAAAGGUUGCAGUGAGCCAAGAUCCAGCCAUUGCACUCCGGCCUGGACAACAGAGUGAGACACCAUCUCAAAAAAAAAAAAAAAAAAAAAGAGAGGGACUGGAUGCAGUAGCUCACAUCUGUAAUCCCAGCACUUUGCGAGGCCAAGGCUGGAAGAUCCCUUGAGCCAAGGAGUUUGAGAUCAGCCUGGGCAACACAGGAAGACCCCCUCUCUACAAAUAAUAGAAAAAUUAGCAGUGAGCAGAGAUCACACCAGGUCACUCCAACCUGGACAACAGAGUUAAGACCCUGUCUCACCAAAAAAAAAAAAAAAAAAAUCACAUCCUUCUCCAGCCUUGGAAAUGAAUACCAAAUUGACUGCCACCACUCCUAGACUGGAGAUCUGGGGAUCCAGGGUGACUGGUUUUCAACUCUGAGGCAGCACUCAGACAGCCUUUGUUGAAUUCAUUAAUUACGAAUUUCUCUCAUUCAUCCCCCAAGGCAUAACCCCCAUUUCUAGGCAUCUAAGGAGGAAAAACACACACACAGGCAUGGGCUCACCUCUUCUGCUGGAAGCUCCUCUGUCCUCCAGCUGCUUCCACUGGGCGCUCAGGUCUUGUGCGGAAGGGGCACAUGAGGGCGUUUUAUUGGUGAGAUUCCCACCUCCCACUGGGUCAUGCCCUUCCACACCCUCUAACCUAAUGAGGCUUUGAUUUAAUUAUAACAGGGAAUUAGGUUUUUACUGGUGAUAUAUCUCCAGUUAAUUGUAACUUUAGUAAAUCCUUCAUCCUGACAGUGUAUUUUUCUUUCAUAUGAAGAUAAGAUUAAAUUGCCUUUAUAUUAAAUUAGGCUUAAUGUACUAACUUCAAAAGCUUAUUUUAGAGAUGUUUCCAUCAGUUGUCAGUAAAGAUAAUUCCUGUAAUAUGUUGUAGGCUUCAAGCUUUGCUUGGAAACCUGAAGUAUUAAGUAUGAUUGGAUUUGCAAUUUUACAAAAUGGUUUAAAUUCAUAUACAUCAGACUCAAAGGUAAUAGGGGCAUGCAUUCCAUUGAGGAAAUUCUAGGGAAUUUUUAUUUAUUUUCAUUGGUUUAUUUCUGGUUUUGAAAAAAUUUCAUAAUUCAUAGGAAAAAAUUGGAUAAUUACUAUUUUGACAAAUGACCAUUAAGCUUCUUGGACCUUGAGUACUUCACACAGUGUUAAGAUAAAAGUCACAAUUUAAAAAAAAAAGAUGAUUUUCUUGUGAAACUUGUGUUCUCAAAUAAAAAUUGUUACCCGUGAA